CCAAUUUAAAAAAUAAACGUCUUAUGUAUAUAUUUAUGUAGUUUGCCUUCCGCUAACGGCUGCGCGAAGCGAAAACUAAAUACAUCCGACCGCUAUGUUGUUCACACGUCGAGUCCCGGAAUACGUUUAAAAUCCGGCGCGAUCCGACACUGCUAUGGCUGUCACUGCCGCGUAUUAUAUUCUGGUUGGCUCGAGGCAGCGCCACCGUCAAAUGAGCGAGUGGCAUUUUUGUGGAGAAGAUCGAAGUGCAUGUCGCGUUUUGGAUUCGAAGCAGCAACUAGAAACGGUGGCGGCCACCGCGGCCGGUUCAUUUCGAUCGGAUCGUGUAAUAGCUUCUGGUUCUGAUAAUGUGGAAUAGCUUUUAAAUCUAUCGAUGGCAACACUGAUCUUCAUUUAUUAUUGACGAUUUUGAACUUGGCGCCUUUUUCUUAACGGCAUAGCUAAAUCUAGGUACGUCGUCGUCGUACACACCCCUUCUUCUAAAUAUUUUCAAAAUUCUGACUGAGCUCCAACAACAACAACAACAACAACACCAAGACAAAAAAAAACAAAUUAUUUAUGUUAAUCCGAAAAUGACAUAAUGCGAUGGCAUUACUUGACACAUUUUGAAAGAUCUACCACAUCGUGUAAAUAUGUAAACUGUAAAAGCAACCAAGGCAAGUAAGGUAAGUGGUGUGUCUGUCCUGUCUAUAAAGUCGACAUACAGCACGUUGUCGACCAUGUGAGAUCGUCAUCAUCAUCAAGAUCAACAUCAGCUUCAACAUCAGCACGACCAUCAUAUUGCACCACCAGAAUUAUAUAGUAAAGAUUCAACACCGAUAUGCCGCUCCACUACCGCACCACAACUACGGUUGACGACGCUCCGACGACGCUAUGAACGGGACACGGGACCAACAACGACAACCCAACCGCACUAGCAAUAAGAUAUACUCAUUUGUAAUGAGUUUUUGAGUAUCUUCUCUCAAGUACGAGUAAGCGCCCAUAAAAUUAAUGAAGUAACGAGUGGCGCGCAAAAAUAUCUUUCUAGCGUAUCUUUUCGAAAAAUAAAAUACUUUUUGAUGCCAAACGCAUAGCGUUUUUGAA